CCAAUAGCGUAUAUUAAAGUUGUUGCAGUUAAAAAGCUCGUAGUUGAAUUUCGAGACCGGUUUAUUGGUCGUGCUUUUGUACGUACUGGUAUUAUUGGUUUCUCCUUUCUGACGAAUCAUAAUGCCAUUAAUUUGGUGUUUUGGGGAAUCAGGACUGUUACUUUGAAAAAAUUAGAGUGUUUAAAGCAGGCUCACGCUUG
rnacentral:rRNA from 1 species